CCCGGCGCGGCGCCUUUCCCCGGCAGUUUCCUGCGGAGCUGCGCUGGGCCGGCUCCGCCGCAGCUCCCGCUGUGUCGGGGACGGGCGCCCGCAGAAAAGCCUCCCCGGAGCCCGGCUGGCCUCAGAGCUCGCACGGGCGCUCCACCCGCACCAGGUGUUGGGGCCCGAGCCCUUCCAGCCCUGCGGACCCUGGGACGAGUCCUCUGGUCCCCAAACAGAUGCUGACAUACUCCCCCUGAGAACCUGUACCAGUGCUUUAGGCCUUUUUAUUUCAACGAUAUAAAGUGUGGCUAUGGUAGUGCAUUGGGUUGAGAUCCUUACCCUGGCUGAGCUACAGACCUGUGCCUUACCUUUUCCUUAUCAACUCCUUUGUUGGAAUUAUUAUAAUUGUAAUUCCCAUUUGCCUAUCACUCUGGCUCUUAAUGAACGCCUGAGGAUGAGUAGUAUCAUGUGGGGUGUGCCUGGAAUGAGAGAAAUGGAUGUCACAGAAAAUGGCUGUGAGCCAGCACCUACCAGGAAGAGGACACAGAACAUCUCAAGUCCAUCACUACUAAGUCAUGAGGUGGAUUUCCAUGGCACAAAAUGCUCUGCUCUCUUUGGUUUGUCCACUGGAUCAACAAGCACUUGUCUUCCUGGAUCCUCAGGGAUCCUGCCAGAUACUGACAGUUACAGCUAGAGUGGUACAAAACUGGUGGCAUGUCAUCAAGCUAGGGAUAGGAAAUUAUACCUGCCCUGAAGGUGUAAUGUUUUCAUAUCUGUUCCAUGCUGCCGAGGCUGUUUUAAUUAUUGCGCAUUGUAUAAAAUUUCUAAAAGUAAAAUUUAUCUGAAGUGUACAAGUGAAAUCUGAUUAAUAUAAAACACAGUCAUGUUUUCACAAAUCAGCAUACUAAUUCAGACCACAGUACAGAGAGGAGAAAAAAAGGAUAAUCAUAAACCAUGGAACAAAACUGCUGUCAAGAGAUUUGUAGAAUAAUCAAAGUUACUUCAACAUUCAAUGGAGUUUAAAACCAUGAAAAGUCAGAUUUUCUUGUGCAUAAAGAAAACCCUGUAAUCCAAUAUAUCCUUUAACUAUGACACAGUCUGUGCAGCAGAAGCAUGAAAAUAAAAGGAGAGCCUGUGAUAAAUGGUUUGAAGAACAAGAAAGGAAAAUAAUUUAAACAACUGAAGAAUGAGUGAACAAGACUGGCAGCCCUGUGGAUUCAUACACACAUGGGCUGUAAGUAUGCCUAGAGAGAAGGAAAGGAAAAAAAAAAGACAGUGAGUAUGAGGCUAAUCAGUGAUUUAGAUUAUCAAAACUGUUUUAAGAGCACAUUGGUACUUGUUUUGACAAAGCUUUAACCGUACAUAUUGUUAGGAUCCAACAUCAUCUGCAACCCCUAUGCCUGAGGCAGUGAGAUAUUUGUCAAAAACUGAAAGACAAUAGCGAGAAAAUUUCUGCCUGUGCAUUUCCAUGUUUGUGAAGGUUGAGUCAUCUGAGAUCCCCUUUCAUACUCAUCAGUGGUGCUCCCCUGAGCUGACAUUCAUUCCUUUAUCCCCCAGGACAGCAGUGUGGCUGCACCACAACUCCCCAGGAGGGCAUCCCCUCCCAGGGCAUCCAUGUGGCUGUCAAACAUUCCAGCUAUUUCCUCUGUUGAAGGUAAAGGUGCCAGAUAGGGCAGCCAAGUAAAUUAAGGAAAAAUAUUAUUUUAAUGAAAAUUAGGAAAUAAAAUCAAAGAAAACUGCAGUAAAACCACUUAGGAUAGUAUCCACAAGUGCCUGUAGUGGCACAUGAACAGGACUGUUGCAAAAAGGUACCUACUUAAAAUCAGAAUUACAUGAAGGUAACUAUAACUUUUCUAAAUAAAUAAUUUCUGUACAGAGUUCUCACUCGGGGAAAUCUCAGACCAAAACAUAUUUCAGAGUGUAUAGGGGAGAAUCCUACAGCAGGCAACAAUAAUAAAACAAAUUUAUAUAUACA